AGCUUGGUAUAGCUCAGUCUGUAGAGCAUGAGACUCUUAAUAUCAGGGUUGUGGGUUCAAGCCCCACAUUGGCCA